GUCAAUUUCGACGGCGAUAUGUUG
rnacentral:siRNA from 1 species